CCUGAUUCAGCACUCCUCCUUUGAGACACUGCCUUUAUGAUUAAGGAAUGCUGUUGUAAAGUGUAGUUACAGCUGGUGUUUACUGCCAUCUAGUGGAAGAUACCAAUAAAACACUUUAUUUUCAGGGUGGGGAGACGGCUGAGUGAAACAGAAAGUAAAGUUGUUCUUUUGUUCAGGAUCCAUUUUGAGACGACAGAGCAGAAGACGCUAUAUGGAGAUUACUGACAAAUAAGGGUCAGUGCUCUAAAAUGAGUCUCUCUGGGGAGAGAGGGGAGGGGGCCCCUGCCUCUAAAAUGCAUCUCUCUGGGGGACAUGACACCAAAGCUAAGAGUCCAAUCAAGCAGGAGAGACCAACCUCCCCUGUUCCCAGCUGUGUGUCCAUGAAGAGUGACUGGUCUAUGGAACUUCCUAUACGGUUUAGAGAGGAGACUUUUCUACUGAACAAAGUCCAAUCAAGCAGGAGAGACCAGCCUCCCCUGUACCCAGCUGUGUGUCCAUGAAGAGUGACCAGUCUAUGGAUCCUCCUAUGAAGUUUAGAGAGGAAGACUUUUCUACUGAACAAAGAAACCAACAGGAGAGAUCAGAGUCAGAGAUUCUCAGUGGUCAGUCUUCCCAGAGUCAUCAAACAGACCUGGACUCCAUAUUCAGU